rnacentral:rRNA from 1 species
AGUCGUAACAAGGUCUCCGUUGGUGAACCAGCGGAGGGAUCAUUACCGAGUUUACAACUCCCAAACCCCUGUGAACAUACCACUUGUUGCCUCGGCGGAUCAGCCCGCUCCCGGUAAAACGGGACUGCCCGCCAGAGGACCCCUAAACUCUGUUUCUAUAUGUAACUUCUGAGUAAAACCAUAAAUAAAUCAAAACUUUCAACAACGGAUCUCUUGGUUCUGGCAUCGAUGAAGAACGCAGCAAAAUGCGAUAAGUAAUGUGAAUUGCAGAAUUCAGUGAAUCAUCGAAUCUUUGAACGCACAUUGCGCCCGCCAGUAUUCUGGCGGGCAUGCCUGUUCGAGCGUCAUUUCAACCCUCAAGCACAGCUUGGUGUUGGGACUCGCGUUAAUUCGCGUUCCCCAAAUUGAUUGGCGGUCACGUCGAGCUUCCAUAGCGUAGUAGUAAAACCCUCGUUACUGGUAAUCGUCGCGGCCACGCCGUUAAACCCCAACUUCUGAAUGUUGACCUCGGAUCAGGUAGGAAUACCCGCUGAACUUAAGCAUAUCAAUAAAAAGUCG